UUGUACACACCGCCCGUCACACCAUGGGAGUGGGUUGCAAAAGAAGUAGGUAGCUUAACCUUCGGGAGGGCGCUUACCACUUUGUGAUUCAUGACUGGGGUGAAGUCGUAACAAGGUAACCGUAGGGGGAACCUGCGGUUGGAUCACCUCCUUACCUUAAAGAA
rnacentral:rRNA from 1 species